rnacentral:tRNA from 1 species
GGGCCUGUAGCUCAGUUGGUUAGAGCGCACGCCUGAUAAGCGUGAGGUCGUUGGUUCAACUCCAAUCAGGCCCA